rnacentral:rRNA from 1 species
CAAUAGCGUAUAUUAAAGUUGUUGCAGUUAAAAAGCUCGUAGUUGAAACUUGGGCCUGGCUGGCGGGUCCACCUCACCGCGUGCACUCGUCCGGCCGGGCCUUCCUUCUGAAGAACCUCAUGCCCUUCACUGGGCGUGCUGGGGAAUCAGGACUUUUACUUUGAAAAAAUUAGAGUGUUCAAAGCAGGCCUUUGCUCGAAUACGUUAGCAUGGAAUAAUAAAAUAGGACGUGCGGUUCUAUUUUGUUGGUUUUUGGAAUCGCCGUAAUGAUUAAUAGGGACAGUCGGGGGCAUUAGUACUCACAUGCUAGAGGUGAAAUUCUUGGAUUUUGUGAAGACUAACUUCUGCGAAAGCAUUUGACAAGGAUGUUUUCAUUAA